GGUUCGGGGUGGCGGAGGCCGCCGCCGCGCACGGUGUGCCCGUGCUGGAGAUCCGCGCGGUCUCCAACCCGGUGGGACCCCGCGACCGCGCCGCC
rnacentral:tRNA from 1 species